rnacentral:misc_RNA from 1 species
GCAAACUUGGUCAUUUAGAGGAAGUAAAAGUCGUAACAAGGUCUCCGUUGGUGAACCAGCGGAGGGAUCAUUACAGAGUUUACAUACUCCAAAACCCUUUGUCUACCUACCAAAAACGUUGCUUCGGCAGGCGACCCCAGGGCGGGGUCGUUGGGUGCCUGCCGGAGGUUUUUUCCAAACUCUUGUUUUUACAAACUUGAAUCUCUGAGUACCUAUUGUAAUAAGUUAAAACUUUCAACAACGGAUCUCUUGGUUCUGGCAUCGAUGAAGAACGCAGC